GACGAACGCUGGCGGCGUGCUUAACACAUGCAAGUCGAACGGAAAGGCCCUGCGUUUGUGGGGUGCUCGAGUGGCGAACGGGUGAGUAACACGCGAGUAACCUGCCCUUGACUUUGGGAUAACUUCAGGAAACUGGGGCUAAUACCGGAUAGGAUCUCCUGCUGCAUGGUGGGGGUUGGAAAGUUUCGGCGGUUGGGGAUGGACUGGCGGGUUAUCAGCUUGUUAGUGGGGUAGUGGCUUACCAAGGCUUUGACGGGUAGCCGGCCUGAGAGGGUGACCGGCCUCCAUGGUACUGAGGUACGCACCAGUAGCCUACGGGCCGCAGCAGGGGGGAAUAUGACACAGCAGCCGGACGCCUGUUACAGCAACGCUGCGUGCGUGAAGCCGGCCUACGGGUUGUAAACCGCUUUCGCCUGAGCCGAGGCGUGAGUGACGGUAAUGGGUAAAGAAGCACCGGCUAACUACGUG
rnacentral:rRNA from 1 species